GAUGAAGAACGUAGCGAAAUGCGAUAAGUAAUGUGAAUUGCAGAAUUCCGUGAAUCAUCGAAUCUUUGAACGCACAUUGCGCCCCUUGGUAUCCCGAGGGGCAUGCCUGUUCGAGCGUCAUUUCACCACUCAAGCCUGGCUUGGUGUUGGGCGACGUCCUCUUUGGGGACGCGCCUCGAAACGCUCGGCGGCGUGGCACCGGCUUUAAGCGUAGCAGAAUCUUUCGCUUUGGAAGUCGGGGCCCCGUCUGCCGGAAGACCUGCUCGCAAGGUUGACCUCGGAUCAGGCAGGGAUACCCGCUGAACUUAAGCAUAUCAAUAAGCGGAGGA
rnacentral:misc_RNA from 1 species